UGAGCACCUCACAAUCAUUACCAUAUCUGCCCUACCAGCUCCUGUGAGGCAUUGACUAGUUACAAGAAGAGAACUGAUGCAAGCAGAGGCAACAUGAUUCACCCAAGGAGUCUCUGGCAGCACAGAAAGAUAAAAUCUGAACGGUUGCAGCCCAGACAGAGGAAAACAAAGCACAAAGAUUUCUGGAGACCAGGGCUGGUGCCAGAGCAGGAACCACAUGCAGCAGCAAGGGGAAUUAUCCUCAGUACAAAAUGGCUGAGAUUUCAGGAGCGAGCUGCAGAUUCCACUUGGCCCCUCUGCACUUUGACAUGAUCUCUUUAAGUCUAUCAUCAUCUCUGCUGUGAUGUGUGCGAGCAGCAAUACCGCUGACUGCCUCUUCCUAGGAUUUAAAGCACCUUUUAUGCAUUACUGGUAUUGGGCUGAAUGUCAAAGUCCCUCUCCUUCACCCCCUACCAACAUUUUCACUAGGCUAGUAUCUUGUUAAUGGUCCCAUUUUCCAUAGGAAACACUGAGAUGACUGGUCGAAAGGUCACACAGUGAACCCGUGGCAGGAUAGGGGAGGGAAGCCGGGAGUGCCAAGUCUAGUGUCUCCAUGCACUAAACUACGCAUCUCUGUAUUCACCUGUUGCUGCCCCCUUCCCAGGGCUCCUUAUGUGUUUUUUGUAACCCAGUAGCACAUAAAGGCACCAAAGAUCUGGGCCCUGCUGUGCCAGGUGCUGUACAGCUGCCUAGUAAGACAGUGUCCCCUGAAAAGCUUACAAGCAAACUAGAGGAAACAAAGGACUACAUUUCCCACUCACAGAAGGGAAACUGAGAUGCGGAGAGAAUAAGACUUGCUCAAGGUCAUAUAAGCAGACCAUUGUAGGGCAGAGACCUGGAUCCCACUUCCAGAAAUACCACCCCAUGGCCUUCAUUUCCAGCUCACCUUCCCUUUCAAAGAGAAAACUCUAGUUGCCAGGGCUUGGACCUCAGUGCCCUGGGUUCAGCUCCCAGCUCAGCCAGAGUCUCUUUGCUUGACUUUGAACAAAUCACUUAAUCUGCCCCAUGCUGCAGUUCCCUGUCUGCCAUCUGGAAAUAACACUUCCUGCACUCAGAUAUAGGAGGCACUCCGAUAUUACAGUACCCAGAUAGCAAAUCCCUAGAAGCACAGACCUUUUGAUCGGGUCAGGUGAGUGGGGGGGUGGGCCCUGUGCUUGCAAGCACAGAAAAACAGCACAUCCAAAUUUCUCCACCCACCCGCUAUGUGACCCUCAGAGGAGAAUCUUACCAUAGCUGUGAC